UACGGGGGGGGUAAGCGUUGUUCGGAAUUAUUGGGCGUAAAGGGCGCGUAGGCGGCCAACUAAGUCAGACGUGAAAUCCCUCGGCUUAACCGGGGAACUGCGUCUGAUACUGGAUGGCUUGAAUCCGGGAGAGGGAUGCGGAAUUCCAGGUGUAGCGGUGAAAUGCGUAGAUAUCUGGAGGAACACCGGUGGCGAAGGCGGCAUCCUGGACCGGCAUUGACGCUGAGGAGCGAAAGCCAGGGGAGCAAACGGG
rnacentral:rRNA from 1 species